rnacentral:rRNA from 1 species
AGUGAACGCUGGCGGUAGGCCUAACACAUGCAAGUCGAACGGCAGCACAGUAAGAGCUUGCUCUUACGGGUGGCGAGUGGCGGACGGGUGAGGAAUACAUCGGAAUCUACUUUUUCGUGGGGGAUAACGUAGGGAAACUUACGCUAAUACCGCAUACGACCUACGGGUGAAAGCAGGGGAUCUUCGGACCUUGCGCGAUUGAAUGAGCCGAUGUCGGAUUAGCUAGUUGGCGGGGUAAAGGCCCACCAAGGCGACGAUCCGUAGCUGGUCUGAGAGGAUGAUCCGGCACACUGGGACUUAGACAAGGUCCAGACCCCCAAGGGAGGGCGCCGUGGGGAAAAUUGGACAAUGGGCGCAAGCCUGAUCCAGCCAUACCGCGUGGGUGAAGAAGGCCUUCGGGUUGUAAAGCCCUUUUGUUGGGAAAGAAAAGCAGCAGGUUAAUACCCCGCUGUUCUGACGGUACCCAAAGAAUAAGCACCGGCUAACUUCGUG